rnacentral:ncRNA from 1 species
UAAAAAGUAGUAGCUUCGUAUAACUCCAAUAAUAUGGUUUGGGGGUCUCUACCAGGUACCGUAAAUUCCUGAUUACGAAGAAGAGAGU